AAAGCGCACGCAGGCGGUUUGUUAAGUCAGAUGUGAAAUCCCCGAGCUUAACUUGGGAACUGCAUUUGAAACUGGCAAGCUAGAGUCUUGUAGAGGGGGGUAGAAUUCCAGGUGUAGCGGUGAAAUGCGUAGAGAUCUGGAGGAAUACCGGUGGCGAAGGCGGCCCCCUGGACAAAGACUGACGCUCAGGUGCGAAAGCGUGGGGAGCAAACAGGAUUAGAUACCCGUGU
rnacentral:rRNA from 1 species